rnacentral:rRNA from 1 species
GAGUUUGAUCCUGGCUCAGAUUGAACGCUGGCGGUAUGCUUAACACAUGCAAGUCGAACGGUAACAGGAGAGAGCUUGCUCUUUUGCUGACGAGUGGCGGACGGGUGAGUAAUGCGUAGGAAUCUGCCUAGUAGUGGGGGACAACGUGUGGAAACGCACGCUAAUACCGCAUACGCCCUACGGGGAAGCGGGGAGUCUUCGGACCUCGCGCUAUUAGAUGAGCCUACGUUAGAUUAGCUAGUUGGUGGGGUAAAGGCCUACCAAGGCGACGAUCUAUAGCUGGUCUGAGAGGAUGAUCAGCCACACUGGGACUGAGACACGGCCCAGACUCCUACGGGAGGCAGCUAGUGGGGAAUAUUGGACAAUGGGCGAAAGCCUGAUCCAGCAAUACCGCGUGUGUGAAGAAGGCC